rnacentral:rRNA from 1 species
AUAAACGCUGAAAGCAUCUAAGUGUGAAACUCGCCUCAAGAUGAGAUUUCCCAUUCCUUUGGAAGUAAGACCCCACAGAGAUGAUGUGGUAGAUAGGAUGGAAGUGGAAGUGCGGUGACGCAUGGAGCGGACCAUUACUAAUCGGUCGAGGACUUAACCAAG